rnacentral:misc_RNA from 1 species
UUCAGGGAGACCAACUUGAGAGUCGUGUCAAUUAUUAGUGACAGAAUCAUCAAGCAUCCCAAAGGUCGAACUUGAAAUGAGUAAAAGGCUUUCAAAUUAUUAAUUAGGGUUCGUAAAAAAAGCACCUUGAAAACUGCAUAAAACUAGAAGAAGAAAUAGAGAAAAAAACUGUCAAUUAAAAAAACAGGUAAUAGUUCUAACAGACAUUCUCAAAAAAAAUAAUUACAAAGGUCAAGCUAAGAAGGGCUAACGGUGGAUACCUAGGCACACAGAGGCGAAG